AAUAAAUAAAUAGAAUCUUUUAAAAAAAAAUGUUCUUGAUGAAACGGUGAAAUUUGUUCAUUGUAUUAACUCUCAAUCCUGGAGAACACGUCAGUGUCCUUUGUGAUAAGGUGAAGCACAGCUAGGGCGCCUCUGCUGACGACGGGGUGAAGGUCAUCUCAGCGAGAAGCAUCUGUGUGCUUGUUUGAGUUGUGGGCCGAGCCAGCUGCUUUUUCACGGGCUGUAAUUUUUAUCCGAAGAACAACAGACAAACACUGAUUUUUCAGAUUUUGGUAUUUAGCAAAUACUUUCUCAGAAAUGCAGUGAACCUGUCACUCUAAGGAAAACAACUUACCGUAUUAGUUACCAAUGAUAAAAUUCAAGUUUUCAAGUUAAAGUUAGAGUUUUGGAAAAUCAUGAGCUUACCACCUUCCCGAUACUAAAGACCUUUUUGUUGACACCAGUGAAGAUACUAAGUAUGAGUAUUUUGAUACUGUAUAAUAUAAUGAAAUGUGUCAAUAUUUGGAAGAUCGAUGUAACUCAGUGAAUCACUAUUUCCAAAUGAUCCAUACAUGAUGUUACAAAAUUAGGCAUGGAUAAAAGACUCAUUCAAAGUGCAAGGUACACCUGUGGACUUUGUGUGUGUGUGUGGUUUACAUACUGUAAAAUUGGCCAAGUUUAAUUGUGUCAUUUGAUGGCUCUGGCAAAUGUAUACAGUCAUGAAACCAUCAUCAUAGGUGUGAAUUAGAGCAUCCCGUCACACCAGAAAUAUGAUUCCAUUUAUAUGAAAUUCUAGAAAAGGCAAAACUGUAGUAAUAGAGUGCAGAUCAGUGGUUACCUGCAGCUGAGGAUGGAAACGGGACACAGGGAACAUUUUGUAGUGAUGGAAAUGUUUGGUAUCUUGAUUGUAGGGGUAGUGACAUGGAUAUAUGUAUUUAUCAAAACUCAUUGAAUUUUAUAUUUAUAAUCAGUGAGUUUUAUUAUAUUUUAUUCAUACCUAAUACAGCUAAUUUUUAAAGGCAAAUAAAGGGGACCCAAAUGUAUGAGUGGUAGCAUUGUUUAGAUCAGUAGUAGGAAAGUGAUUAACUGUUACAAUAAAAUAUUGAUUAUCCCUGUGGGAAAAAUUUAAAUUGUAUCUUUAUCUCACUUCUUUCAUAAAAACCAAUUCCAGGUAGAUUAAGUGUCUAAACUUUUACAGAAAAUACAGAGAGUACCUUAGUGAUUUUAGAGUAGGCAGGGAUUUGUUAAGAAAUACAAACCAUAAUGGAAUCCAAUCAAUUUGACCCUAUUGAAAUUGAAUACUUCUCUGUAACAAAAGACACCAUAAACAUAGUGAAAAGAUAAGCCACAGAUAUUAGUAACAAUUAUAAUCAACAAAGGGUUUAUUUUAAAAUGCAUCUAAAAACUACAGGCCUAUAAGACAAAGAGAGAAUCCUUAAAAUCACAAUGAAAUUACCGUUUCAUACUGAAAAGAUCAGCAAGAAUUAAAGUAUUCUUGACAAUACCAAAAUAGUUGAGACUGUGGAGCAAUGGGAAUUCUCACACCUGGUUGCUAACUGGAUGUAAACUGGGCAGUCAUUUUGGAGAGCAGUUUGGUAAUGUCUGACAGAAACGAGGUUGUCCAUACCCUUGCAGCACUGUGUCUUCCAACUUGGGGACACAACCGUUAGGUUACAAAGUCUACAUAAUGGUUCACAGCAAGUGUUUUUUUAAUGAAGUACAGACUGAACUAAACAUAAAAUACCAGCACACACUGCAUGUAGCACAGGUUGGGUACUGUGUCACAGAACUUUUUUUACUUUUGUGUGUGUGUGUGUGUUUAUAUGUACUUGCUGUGUGCCUGGUAAAAUGUGUUUCAUACUGUAGGUCUGGU